GAUGAACGCUGGCGGCGUGCCUAAUACAUGCAAGUCGAGCGAACGGACGAGAAGCUUGCUUUUCUGAUGUUAGCGGCGGACGGGUGAGUAACACGUGGAUAACCUACCUAUAAGACUGGGAUAACUUCGGGAAACCGGAGCUAAUACCGCAUAAUAUUUUGAACCGCAUGGUUCAAAAGUGAAAGACGGUCUUGCUGUCACUUAUAGAUGGAUCCGCGCUGCAUUAGCUAGUUGGUAAGGUAACGGCUUACCAAGGCAACGAUGCAUAGCCGACCUGAGAGGGUGAUCGGCCACACUGGAACUGAGACACGGUCCAGACUCCUACGGGAGGCAGCAGUAGGGAAUCUUCCGCAAUGGGCGAAAGCCUGACGGAGCAACGCCGCGUGAGUGAUGAAGGUCUUCGGAUCGUAAAACUCUGUUAUUAGGGAAGAACAUAUGUGUAAGUAACUGUGCACAUCUUGACGGUACCUAAUCAGAAAGCCACGGCUAACUACGUG
rnacentral:rRNA from 1 species